rnacentral:lncRNA from 13 species
CUCCACCUCAGUGCUAUUGACAUUUGGGGCUGGAUCAUUCUUUUUCACGGGGGUUGUCCACUGCCUUGGGGGAUGUUCAGCAGCACUGGGGACCUAACUGCUCCUGGUCGACAACUACUGAUUUGGAAUUAGAUAUGGAACAAAUGGAUGGUUCCAAGGGCAAGUGCCUCACCUGAGAGACUUAAAGUUCAGAAGGCUUGUUUAAUUGAUGAUUGUCAUUUGUCUUUGCCAAAACCAGCCUCUUGCCAAGCUGACAUUUAUCGCUGUACACAGAAGAAAAUGAGCCAAGAAGUGCUGCAGGAGUUCAGAGGCGAGAGAGAGGAAUGUGGCCUGACAUGCACAGAUUUCAAGAAGGAGCUGGCUGAAAUGAAAUGA